rnacentral:tRNA from 1 species
GGGGAUGUAGCUCAGAUGGUAGAGCAUUCGCUUACAA